GACGGCAGCAUGAUCUAGCUUGCUAGAUUGAUGGCGAGUGGCGAACGGGUGAGUAAUACAUCGGAACGUGCCCUGUAGUGGGGGAUAACUAGUCGAAAGAUUAGCUAAUACCGCAUACGACCUGAGGGUGAAAGUGGGGGACCGCAAGGCCUCAUGCUAUAGGAGCGGCCGAUGUCUGAUUACCUAGUUGGUGAGGAAAAGGCUCACCAGGGCGACAAUUAGUAGCUGGUCUGAGAGGACAAUCACCCACCCGGGGACUGAAACCGGGCCCAAACUCCUAGGGGAGGCACCAGGGGGAAUUUUUGAACAUGGGGAAAACCCUUUUCCACAAUUCCCGCGGGGUGUAAAAAAGCCCCUCCGGUUUGAAAACCUUUUUUUCCCCGAAAAAAA
rnacentral:rRNA from 1 species